UUACCUUCACAUCUAUUUCCAGGUUAUUUUCUGAAGCAAACGUUUCAAUCUUCACGUUCCUAACUUCCUUGUUCAUCCUGGGCCACGAAAAUCCCUUGGCCUGUCUAGAUUUGGGGACAGUAGGCUAUCACUUUUCUUUACCGUCACAUCUAUUUCCAGGUUAUUUUCUGAAGCAAACGUUUUAAUCUUCACGUUCCUAACUUCCUUGUUCAUCCUGGGCCACGAAAAUCCCUUGGUCUGUCUGGAUAUCGGGACGGUACCAUUUUUCCUAUACUUUUCACGUCUAUCUCCACGUUAUUUUCUGAAGCAAACUUUUCAUCUUAACGUUCCAAACUUCCUUGUUCAUCCUGGGCCACGAAAAUCCCCUGGCCUGUCUAGAUUUCGGGACGGUACCAUUUUUCUUUACCUUCACGUCCAUUUCCAGGUUAUUUUCGGAAGCAAACUUUUCAUCUUCACGUUUCAGAUCGCUUUGGUUAAUCUUCGAGUCGGGGAAACGUAGUAAAAGGUAAAUAGUAAUAAAAUUCGAACUCGGAGCCAGCCAGUCAACCAGUCAACCAGAACACGAGCAACCACGCUUACUUGAGUUCCCGUUUUCUUUUUCUCCGGGCGGGUGAGCGAGAGGGCCAACGCGUCUAAAAUUUACCCGGCGCGGCAGGGCGAACUAUUCUAUUUUAUCAUUUAUUUAUUCAUUUAUUAUUUCAUUAACAUAUCAUAGCAUAGUUGAGUUGCAUCUGCUUCCUAUAUGAUACAAGCUUGAUGGUAAAUAAAAAGGAGGAGGAGGAGGAGGAGGAGGAUAAAGUAAUGAGAAAGAAAAGAAGAGAAGGAGGAGGAGGUGAAAGAGGAGGAGGAGGAGGAGGAGGAGGUGAUGAUGAAGAGGGGGAUUUAGCAAGUCAAGACAUAUGAUACAACCUCUCUCUCUCUCUCUCUCUCUCUCUCUCUCUCUCUCUCUCUCUCUCUCUCUCUCUCUCUCUCUCUCUCUCUCUCUCUCAGGUAGGCAGCAGGUGAGUUCAUUUGCAUUCAUUACGGCGCGAACGUCAGGUGUGAAGGGGGCACACGGCAACUCGCUCAAGCCGGGGAAAUGAUCUCUGCUUAAUUUCCUGCUUGGAGGCGAUAUUUCCAUCCCCUCUCACGCCUGCUCUCGCUCUCGCCCUUCUGUUUUCCUCCUCCUACUCUUUGUCCUCCUAUUCCUAUUCCUUCUGUUUUCCUUUUCCUCUUUUCCUUCCUUCUAUUCCUUCUGUUUUCCUUUUCCUCUUUUUCUUCCUUCUAUUCCUUCUGUUUUCCUUUUCCUCUUUUUCUUCCUUCUAUUCCUUCUGUUUUCCUUUUCCUCUUUUCCUUCCUUCUAUUCCUUCUGUUUUCCUCUUCUUCUUUCUAUUCCUUUCCUUUCCUUGUUUUCCUCUUCAUCUCCGUUCUAUUCUUUCUCUUUCCCUUUGUUUUCUUCAUCCUCUUCCUCUUCCUUCUAUUCCUUCUCUUUCCUACUGUUUUCCUUCUUCUCUUUUUCUUCCUUCUAUUCCUUCUCUUUCCUUCUAAUUCCUUCCUCCUCUUUUCCUUCCUUCUACCUUUAUUUAUACAAGCUACUCCUCUUCCUAUUAUUACUCCUCUUUUUCCUCUUCCCCUUCCUUCUCCUCCCCCUUCUACUCUCCUCUUUUUCCUUCCCUUUCUGACUCUCUUUCCUCCUCUAUUUAAUUCCCUUGUAUUUCACGCCUUCUAGUUGUUGUUUUUUUUCCAUUUGGUAACACUGUCUUUCCAAACUAAACACACACACACACACACACACACACACACACACACACACACACACACACACACACACACACACA